rnacentral:rRNA from 1 species
UGGGGAAUUUUGGACAAUGGGCGAAAGCCUGAUCCAGCAAUGCCGCGUGUGUGAAGAAGGCCUUCGGGUUGUAAAGCACUUUUGUCCGGAAAGAAAUCCUUGGCUCUAAUACAGUCGGGGGAUGACGGUACCGGAAGAAUAAGCACCGGCUAACUACGUGCCAGCAGCCGCGGUAAUACGUAGGGUGCAAGCGUUAAUCGGAAUUACUGGGCGUAAAGCGUGCGCAGGCGGUUUGCUAAGACCGAUGUGAAAUCCCCGGGCUCAACCUGGGAACUGCAUUGGUGACUGGCAGGCUAGAGUAUGGCAGAGGGGGGUAGAAUUCCACGUGUAGCAGUGAAAUGCGUAGAGAUGUGGAGGAAUACCGAUGGCGAAGGCAGCCCCCUGGGCCAAUACUGACGCUCAUGCACGAAAGCGUGGGGAGCAAACAGGAUUAGAUACCCUGGUAGUCCACGCCCUAAAACGAUGUCAACUAGUUGUUGGGGAUUCAUUUCCUUAGUAACGUAGCUAACGCGUGAAGUUGACCGCCUGGGGAGUACGGUCGCAAGAUUAAAACUCAAAGGAAUUAACGGGGUCAUAGCUGUUU